AGAGUUUGAUCCUGGCUCAGAACGAACGCUGGCGGCAGGCUUAACACAUGCAAGUCGAGCGCCCCGCAAGGGGAGCGGCAGACGGGUGAGUAACGCGUGGGAACGUGCCCUUUGGUUCGGAACAACUCCGGGAAACUGGAGCUAAUACCGGAUAAGCCCUUCGGGGGAAAGAUUUAUCGCCAAAGGAUCGGCCCGCGUCUGAUUAGCUAGUUGGUGAGGUAAUGGCUCACCAAGGCGACGAUCAGUAGCUGGUCUGAGAGGAUGAUCAGCCACACUGGGACUGAGACACGGCCCAGACUCCUACGGGAGGCAGCAGUGGGGAAUAUUGGACAAUGGGCGCAAGCCUGAUCCAGCCAUGCCGCGUGAGUGAUGAAGGCCUUAGGGUUGUAAAGCUCUUUUGUCCGGGAAGAUAAUGACUGUACCGGAAGAAUAAGCCCCGGCUAACUUCGUG
rnacentral:rRNA from 1 species